ACAUGCCUACAUCAUAGUGUCAAUGCAUCAGAUCCCAUUAGAACUCUGUAGUUAAGUGCAUUCAGGCUAGAGUAGUACUAGGAUGGUUGACCACCCAGGAAUUCAUAGUGUUUUACAUGCC
rfam:Picea glauca, whole genome shotgun sequence.